rnacentral:rRNA from 1 species
GAUAUCCUACGGGGGGCAGCAGUGGGGGAUAUUGCACAAUGGGGGGAACCCUGAUGCAGCGACGCCGCGUGGGUGAAGGGGCGUUUCGGCGCGUAAAGCCCUAUCGGCAGGGAAGAAGGAGGACGGUACCUGACUAAGAAGCCCCGGCUAACUACGUGCCAGCAGCCGCGGUAAUACGUAGGGGGCAAGCGUUAUCCGGAUUUACUGGGUGUAAAGGGGGCGCAGACGGCAGCGCAAGCCCGGAGGGAAAGCCCGGGGCCCAACCCCGGGACCGCUCU